rnacentral:rRNA from 1 species
AUUGAACGCUGGCGGCAGGCCUAACACAUGCAAGUCGAGCGGCAGCGGGAAAGUAGCUUGCUACUUUUGCCGGCGAGCGGCGGACGGGUGAGUAAUGCCUGGGAAAUUGCCCAGUCGAGGGGGAUAACAGUUGGAAACGACUGCUAAUACCGCAUACGCCCUACGGGGGAAAGCAGGGGACCUUCGGGCCUUGCGCGAUUGGAUAUGCCCAGGUGGGAUUAGCUAGUUGGUGAGGUAAUGGCUCACCAAGGCGACAAUCCCUAGCUGGUCUGAGAGGAUGAUCAGCCACACUGGAACUGAGACACGGUCCAGACUCCUACGGGAGGCAGCAGUGGGGAAUACUGCACAAUGGGGGAAACCCUGAUGCAGCCAUGCCGCGUGUGUGAAGAAGGCCUUCGGGUCGUAAAGCACUUUCAGCGAGGAGGAAAGGUUGAUGCCUAAUACGUAUCAACUGUGACGUUACUCGCAGAAGAAGCACCGGCUAACUCCGUGCCAGCCGCCGCCGUAA